ACUCCUACGGGAGGCAGCAGUGGGGAAUAUUGCACAAUGGGCGCAAGCCUGAUGCAGCAACGCCGCGUGAGGGACGACGGCCUUCGGGUUGUAAACCUCUUUUAGUAGGGAAGAAGCGAAAGUGACGGUACCUGCAGAAAAAGCACCGGCUAACUACGUGCCAGCAGCCGCGGUAAUACGUAGGGUGCAAGCGUUAUCCGGAAUUAUUGGGCGUAAAGAGCUCGUAGGCGGUUUGUCGCGUCUGCUGUGAAAACUGGAGGCUCAACCUCCAGCCUGCAGUGGGUACGGGCAAACUAGAGUGCGGUAGGGGAGAUUGGAAUUCCUGGUGUAGCGGUGGAAUGCGCAGAUAUCAGGAGGAACACCGAUGGCGAAGGCAGAUCUCUGGGCCGUAACUGACGCUGAGGAGCGAAAGCAUGGGGAGCGAACAGGAUUAGAUACCCUGGUAGUCCAUGCCGUAAACGUUGGGCGCUAGAUGUGGGGACCAUUCCACGGUUUCCGUGUCGCAGCUAACGCAUUAAGCGCCCCGCCUGGGGAGUACGGCCGCAAGGCUAAAACUCAAAGGAAUUGACGGGGGCCCGCACAAGCGGCGGAGCAUGCGGAUUAAUUCGAUGCAACGCGAAGAACCUUACCAAGGCUUGACAUAUACCUGAAAAGGCUGGAAACAGUCUCCCCGCAAGGCAGGUAUACAGGUGGUGCAUGGUUGUCGUCAGCUCGUGUCGUGAGAUGUUGGGUUAAGUCCCGCAACGAGCGCAACCCUCGUUCUAUGUUGCCAGCACGUAAUGGUGGGAACUCAUAGGAGACUGCCGGGGUCAACUCGGA
rnacentral:rRNA from 1 species